rnacentral:rRNA from 1 species
AAAGCACUUUUAGUGGGGAUGAAAUGUGCAGGGUUAAUACCUCUGCAUUUUGACCUAACCCACAGAAAAAGCACCGGCUAGCUCUGUGCCAGCAGCCGCGGUAAUACAGAGGGUGCAAGCGUUAAUCGGAAUUACUGGGCGUAAAGCGUGCGCAGACGGUUGCGUAAGUCAGAUGUGAAAGCCCCGGGCUCAACCUGGGAAUUGCAUUUGAGACUGCGUAGCUAGGGUGCGGAAGAGGGAAGCGGAAUUUCCGGUGUAGCGGUGAAAUGCGUAGAUAUCGGAAGGAACACCAGUGGCGAAAGCGGCUUCCUGGUCCAGCACCGACGUUCAGGCACGAAAGCGUGGGGAGCAAACAGGAUUAGAUACCCUGGUAGUCCACGCCAUAAACGAUGAGAACUAGACGUUGAAGGGGUAAGCCCUCCAGUGUCGUAGCUAACGCGCUAAGUUCUCCGCCUGGGGAGUACGGCCGCAAGGUUGAAACUCAAUGAAUUGACGG